UUUUAUGGAGAGUUUGAUCCUGGCUCAGGAUGAACGCUGGCGGCGUGCCUAAUACAUGCAAGUCGAGCGAACGGACGAGAAGCUUGCUUCUCUGAUGUUAGCGGCGGACGGGUGAGUAACACGUGGAUAACCUACCUAUAAGACUGGGAUAACUUCGGGAAACCGGAGCUAAUACCGGAUAAUAUUUUGAACCGCAUGGUUCAAAAGUGAAAGACGGUCUUGCUGUCACUUAUAGAUGGAUCCGCGCUGCAUUAGCUAGUUGGUAAGGUAACGGCUUACCAAGGCAACGAUGCAUAGCCGACCUGAGAGGGUGAUCGGCCACACUGGAACUGAGACACGGUCCAGACUCCUACGGGAGGCAGCAGUAGGGAAUCUUCCGCAAUGGGCGAAAGCCUGACGGAGCAACGCCGCGUGAGUGAUGAAGGUCUUCGGAUCGUAAAACUCUGUUAUUAGGGAAGAACAUAUGUGUAAGUAACUGUGCACAUCUUGACGGUACCUAAUCAGAAAGCCACGGCUAACUACGUGCCAGCAGCCGCGGUAAUACGUAGGUGGCAAGCGUUAUCCGGAAUUAUUGGGCGUAAAGCGCGCGUAGGCGGUUUUUUAAGUCUGAUGUGAAAGCCCACGGCUCAACCGUGGAGGGUCAUUGGAAACUGGAAAACUUGAGUGCAGAAGAGGAAAGUGGAAUUCCAUGUGUAGCGGUGAAAUGCGCAGAGAUAUGGAGGAACACCAGUGGCGAAGGCGACUUUCUGGUCUGUAACUGACGCUGAUGUGCGAAAGCGUGGGGAUCAAACAGGAUUAGAUACCCUGGUAGUCCACGCCGUAAACGAUGAGUGCUAAGUGUUAGGGGGUUUCCGCCCCUUAGUGCUGCAGCUAACGCAUUAAGCACUCCGCCUGGGGAGUACGACCGCAAGGUUGAAACUCAAAGGAAUUGACGGGGACCCGCACAAGCGGUGGAGCAUGUGGUUUAAUUCGAAGCAACGCGAAGAACCUUACCAAAUCUUGACAUCCUUUGACAACUCUAGAGAUAGAGCCUUCCCCUUCGGGGGACAAAGUGACAGGUGGUGCAUGGUUGUCGUCAGCUCGUGUCGUGAGAUGUUGGGUUAAGUCCCGCAACGAGCGCAACCCUUAAGCUUAGUUGCCAUCAUUAAGUUGGGCACUCUAAGUUGACUGCCGGUGACAAACCGGAGGAAGGUGGGGAUGACGUCAAAUCAUCAUGCCCCUUAUGAUUUGGGCUACACACGUGCUACAAUGGACAAUACAAAGGGCAGCGAAACCGCGAGGUCAAGCAAAUCCCAUAAAGUUGUUCUCAGUUCGGAUUGUAGUCUGCAACUCGACUACAUGAAGCUGGAAUCGCUAGUAAUCGUAGAUCAGCAUGCUACGGUGAAUACGUUCCCGGGUCUUGUACACACCGCCCGUCACACCACGAGAGUUUGUAACACCCGAAGCCGGUGGAGUAACCUUUUAGGAGCUAGCCGUCGAAGGUGGGACAAAUGAUUGGGGUGAAGUCGUAACAAGGUAGCCGUAUCGG
rnacentral:rRNA from 1 species